UACGGGAGGCAGCAGUGGGGAAUAUUGCACAAUGGGCGAAAGCCUGAUGCAGCUAUGCCGCGUGUAUGAAGAAGGCCUUAGGGUUGUAAAGUACUUUCAUCGGGGAGGAAAAAACAAAACUAAUAAUUUUAUUUCUUGACGUUACCCGAAAAAGAAGCACCGGCUAACUCCGUGCCAGCAGCCGCGGUAAUACGGAGGGUGCUAGCGUUAAUCAGAAUUACUGGGCGUAAAGAGCACGUAGGUGGUUUUUUUAAAGUCAGAUGUGAAUCCCUGGGCUUAACCUAGGAACUGCAUUUUGAAACUGAAAUACUAGAGUAUCGUAGAGGGAGGUAGAAUUCUAGGUGUAGCGGUGAAAUGCGUAGAUAUCUGGAGGAAUACCUGUGGCGAAAGCGGCCUCCUAAACGAAUACUGACACUGAGGUGCGAAAGCGUGGGGAGCGAAACAGGGAUUAGAUACC
rnacentral:rRNA from 1 species